AUGGCGACACCGCCGGCGGCUUCCUCCUCCCCCUCACCUUCUCUCCCUCUCCCAAGGGAGGGAAGGGAAUGGAGGGGAUCCGGCGGCAAGGGGGGGGCAGCGCCCAGAUCCGCAGCCGCACCGGCGGGCCGCCGUCCCUCGAGAUCGUCCAUGGAGGUCCGACCCGGCUGCGGCCAUGGACUGAGAUGCCCGAAACCCUAG
rnacentral:rRNA from 1 species